ACAUGCAGACAUAUCGCCUGACUAGUAGUUGGGUCGGUGACGACCAGCGAAUCCCAGGUGCUGUAUGUU
rnacentral:rRNA from 1 species